CUCCAUGGAUACAUUGAAGAGCGGGGUAUAAAUGAAAGGCUCUUUCCAUUUCUUCAAGCUUGGCUUUAUGUGAAGGAUCACCGGAAACUCCUGCAGUGGUUCAAAUCGGUUGGUACUGUCAUUAUUGAACGCAAGCAAGCUUCAAAUUCAGAUGUUCAAAUCAGUAAAUGAUUUUCAAGAUUACUGUAUGGAAUGAUUUGCUAAUUAGCCAUUGACUGGUAGAUUGCCCCUAAAGUUUUCUUGUAUUUUGCAAGGCCAUUUUAAAUCUCUCUCUCUCUCUCUCUCUCUCUAUCUCUUCAUUCCUUGUGCAGAAGUAUUUAAAUUACUUUAGAUCAACAAUCGUAGAAUAUUUGUAAUAUGAAUAUGUUCCAAGUUUGCUUAAUGUUUCACAGGAAUUUAUUACGUAUUCACUAAUCCUCAGAAGCAAGUUCAUGAAUUUCCGAACAAAGUUGAGCUUGUUAAUUAAUUGACGAAUUAUUUAUCCAAUGUUGACACAAUAGAUUUGAAGAAAUUAUACAUGGAUGAUGAUGUGUGCAUAUUAUGAAACGAAUCAAGUCUCACUCGUGAGCAAAUUUUCAACUAAAAACAUCUUAUGCAUGUUGUGUUUGCAGGAUCCGGUUAGAUGAAGUUUAUUUUUGAGUAAGUUGGUCAAUUAACUAAAAUAAUGCUGACACAUAUAGAAUAUCACAUGCGUGUCAGCACUAUUGAUCAAUUGACUAACUUACUCAAAAAUGAACUUCAUGUUAAUCACUUCUGUGUUUGCAUAUGCCUACUAUAUCUGAGAAAGAGCCAUUCACAUGUUGCUUACUUGAAUUUUACAAAGAAAAUUGAUAUCAUGUUUCUUACAGUCUAUAUUCGUAGACAUACAGACGAAAUUGUAUGUGUGUCAGUAUUCUAUUGUCCAAUUAACUAACUUACCAAAAAAAUAACUUCAUGCUAAUCGGACGAAGAGUAACCUUUUUAGGACUUGCUCAGUGAAAAAUACUAUCAAUUUGAAAAGUUGGCACUGUUAAGGUAGUUUUGGCUUUUCCUAGAACAAGUUUCAUAAUGGACAUUCGUACUAUCUUUUUCUAUGCUUGUACACCAGGUUUGGCAAGACCCAUAACAGCUUUGUCGCAUCAGUCAAUCAAUACACAAAUAUAAUAAGACAAAUACCGAGCUAAUCCCGAGUCAACUCAACAAUGGUCCAAAAGAUUUUUAUUUUUAUCGAGUCAUUUUGGUUGGUCCAAAAUUAACUCGACAGUCAACGACUCAAUUGCAGUCUCUCCCUCUCUUCAAGCUAUAACCUAAACUAACUAAUAAUGUAUUGCCUCGAUCUGAUUACUUCACUUCAUACCUCGACUCAGUUUUCCUUUAACAAAUGCACACUACUGUUACGUACUACUACUCCCUCUAUUCCAUAAUACUACAUAAUAAUUAUUAUAAGAAUUAGUAAAAAUAAAAGUUAUUCAUAGUAUCACUUAAGAAUUGAUUUUUGUAUAAAAUUUCAUCAGUAUCUGAAGACAAGUAAUACAACUCAUAAAAAAUGAGAGAAUUUAGGGAUACUAUAGGAAAUUAAAUACUUUAUUCUCUUAAAAAGUUAUAAAUUACACAUAGAUCGGAAAAUAUUUUCUUUUCUAAAAAGUCUCAGGUGACGGAGCCGGAGUAGAUAGCAAAGGAUUUCUUAUUGUUGUUAUAUUUUGAAAGAUUAUCACUAAAAUAAAGAUAAUUUUGUCCGACACCAAUACUUGUCAUAAUCGUAACACUGUUUGUAUAUACACUAACAAGGCAUGAAGCUUUAAUUCUAAUUACAUACGCUUUGAAUGCCAGUGGAAGUAAGUGGUACUGCUGUCCGAAUAUGAGGAUAUAUUUCACCCAAAAAAAUCGGCUAGAUUGAUUUUUGGGAUGACCCACUCGCCAAAACUUGGAAUGAGAGUCGAUUUCUGUAAUGGAGGACCAAGAUUUAUGGACAUCGUGGCGGCUAUGCAAGAUUUGGGCAUUAUUGAAUGCAAGAGGUGAUGUUUUUCUAGGGUUUUUAUUAGGGUUCUUUAGAAAAUUGAAAUAAUUUGGGGCAAAAAAUCUUGAGUUGGGUACUUGGGUUGAUUGGGAGGAUAAAAAGGUAAAAACCGUGCAAUUGCAGAGGGAUCCGCCAUUGAAGAGAGUGUUGCUGGGAAAGAGAAUACAUUUUGAUAUGGUUUGAAUAAAAUUUUUGUGGAUAUGAAAGUUCGUGGGAAACAAAGAAGAUGAGUCUCGUACGGACACAUUCCCGGGAAUUUUUAAAGAAACAGU
rnacentral:lncRNA from 1 species